UCUCUCUCUCUCUCUCUAUAUAUAUAUAUAUAUAUAUAUAUAUGUAUGUAUAAUAUGUAUGUAUAUAUAAAGAAAAGAAAGAGCUAAGAAAAAUUGUUUACCACUGGACGGUCCCGAUCGAAUGAACCUUCUCUUUUACACACUUAUAUUUCCAUAUAACAUAAAUGUGCAUUUAAACGUGGUGCAGUAGUGCCGACGCGUGAGAUCUCUCUGGAGGGCCUUUAUUAUAUCAAACUCUUAAUGUAAUACUACAAAUCCAGCAAUAUUUUGUACGAUCUGAAUAAGGGAUAAAAAGAUAUAAGCCUUUGAAGGUCUCGAGAAAGAGUAUGAUUAGAUUAUAAUAAAAAACGAAAUUUUUUUUCAAAUA